rnacentral:snRNA from 1 species
AUCAUUUCUUGGUCUUUUGGCUAAGAUCAAGUAUAGCAUCUGUUCUUAGCACUUUAAAAUAAUUACCGCCAUGGAUUUAGCUCAGUGGCGAGCUCAGUGGCGCUAGUGUGACCCCUG